UACAGAGGUCUCAAGCGUUGUUCGGAUUCAUUGGGCGUAAAGGGUGUGUAGGUGGCGCGCUAAGUCGGGUGUGAAAUUUCGGAGCUUAACUCCGAAACUGCAUUCGAUACUGGCGUGCUUGAGGACUGGAGAGGAGACUGGAAUUCAUGGUGUAGCGGUGAAAUGCGCAGAUAUCAGGAAGAACACCCGUGGCGAAGGCGGCUCUCUGGAACGCAACUGACGCUGAGACGCGAAAGCGUGGGGAGCAAACAGG
rnacentral:rRNA from 1 species